rnacentral:lncRNA from 1 species
UAUCAAGCGUUAAUAAUGAAACGAGUUCCAUCGAAAUCAGUUAGGAUAAUCGGGAUCUUCUUGAAAAUCUCAAUAAUACAUAUGAAAUCUUGCAUCUUGCAUCACUUCAGGCAUUAAGUCUCGCCCACGCUUCGAGAAAAACGUUAUUGAAAAAAACAAGUUUGAGGAAAACAUAUAUUUCACACAUGUUUUCCUCAAACUAACUUGUGAAUAGAUUAAUUCUCUCUUUUCCAAUACAUUAUUGAACAAGAGUUCAUCGAGGGCAGGAACAACAUUUUGCGGAGCUCUAUAUUGGAUUACAAUUUUCAACGUUAUAAACAGAUAAACAGGAUGCGGUUCUGGCUUUCGAUUCUGCUUGUGAUUGGGGCGCUGAUGAGUAUUGCCACUAUCUCAUCAGCAGCGCCACAGCGACAAUGGCCUCGUCAUGAUGAUGAUGAUGAUGCUGAUUACAACACUUUUAAAAUUAAGCCGAACUGUCCACGAGAACCUUAUAAAGUUAAUGGUGUUUGGAGAUGCAGAUAAUGACAGCAUUAUGAAAAAUACAUCGGAUUCAAAAGUUAAUUUGGAUAGAAAUCGACAAAUAAAUAGAGGUGAAUUUGUGUUAUUGCUGUGUUCAUCAAGAAAUGAAUAAAUAAGAAGACUGAAUUGACUGUGUGUUGCUUUUUCGUAAACAUUUUUGAUUACCAAGUGGAGUGGAUCAAUUUGAAGAAAUCUGUGAUACUUUCCAUUAAUUGAGAGAGAUUUUGCAAACAGUUUUAAGAACAACUCAGUUAUAAAUUUUUUUUUUCAAUAAACCAGUAGGCCUACCUCAAAUUCUGGAUAAAUUUAGUUGGCAGAAUAAAGUUCGUUCAGACAACCAAUUUUUUCAAGAUGACAGGCGAUGAUAGGCUCUGACAGCCUAUCUCAUUCUGUAGGUAGUGUGUCUUGUGAUCGUCUCAAAUGUUUAUACUGUUCAAGAAUAAUAUUUGAUCAAGCAGAUCUGAUUAACAAAGGUCAUUAAUGCCUCCCUUAUCUUUCAGAUACUGUAUAAUUUCAAAACAAAUAUUUUGUGCAUCAUUAUCAAGCGUAAAUAAUGAAACGAGUUCCUUCGAAAUCAGUUUGGUUUAUCGGGAUUUUCGUGUUAAUCUCAAUAAUGCAUAUGACAUCUUGCAUCACUUCAGGCUUGCCCACGCUUUGAGGGAAACGUCGAUUGAGAAAACCAAAUAUUUCACGCAUAUUUUCCUCAAACUAACUUGUCAAUAGGCCUAGAUUAAUUCUCUCCUCUCCAAUACGGUACAUAUUUAAACAAGAGUUCAUGGAGGGUAGGAGCAACAUGUUGCAGAGCUCUUUAUUGGAUUACAAUUUUCAAUGUUGAACACAUAAACAGGAUGCAGUUCUGGCUUUCGAUUCUACUUGUGAUUGUGGCGCUGAUGAGUAUUGGCUCCACCUCAUCCCAGUUCUCGUCUUCAGUCGCAGUUCCAUGGCGACAAUGGCCUCGUCAUGACGAUGAUAAUGUUUCUUACCACACUUUUAACAUUAAGCCGAAUUGUCCACGAGGUGCUUAUAAAGUUAAUGGUGUUUGGAGAUGCAGAUAAUGACUGCAUUAUGAAAAACACAUCGGAUUCGAAUGUUAAUUUGGAUAAAAAUCGACAAAUAAAUAGAGGUGGAUUUGUGUUAUUGCUGUGAUCAUGAAGAGAUGAAUAAAUAAGAAGAUUGACUUGACUGUGUUGCUUUUUCGCAAACAUUUUUGAUUACUGAGUGGAGUGGAUCAAUUUGAAUAAAUCUGUGAUACUUUCGAUCAAUUUUAAGAGAUAUCUUGCAAACAUUUUCAAGAACACCUUAUUCAUCAGUUAUAUUUUUUCAAUAAACUAAUACCUCAAA